rnacentral:lncRNA from 1 species
AUAUAUGUUUGGUCCCUCAUUGGAGUCCACCUGUGUAGGUUCGGACCCGAGGAACCGAGGACCCCAGCAGUGAGUGAGCUGCUUCAGUGUCUGGUCAGAGCUAGCCAGAGGUGAGUGGAAACAAGCUUAAUGUUUUAAAUCAAGCAAUUAAAUGUUUUGAGCAUGUUUCAUGCAUCAUGAUGACAUGUAAUAGGCUGAUUGCAUUAGUUCACGAAUAUGUCGCAUUGCAUCUUAUUUUAUGGUUGUGGGUGAAUGCUGUAUGAUCCAAUUAGUCCACGAGGCUUUAUAUAUGAUAUGACAGGAAGACCAGGACCCCAUGCUACGGCCUGGCAUGAGACUUUAUAUAUGAUGUGACAGGAAGACCAGGACCCCAUGCUACGGCCUGGCAUGAGACUUUAUAUAUGAUAUGACAGGAAGACCAGGACCCCAUGCUACGGCCUGGCACGAGACUUUAUGUAUGUUAUGACAGGAAGACCAGGACCCCAUGCUACGGCCUGGCACGAGACUAUGUUGGGACUAAUUGGUGACAGGUUCACCCUUGAUGUGAAUUGUCUGUGAUAUGAUGCAUUCCAUGAAAGCAUGAAUUUUAAUAUAAUGUUUUUAGUUUCUACUCACUGGGCUUUUAGCUCACCCCUCUCCCCUAACCCCCAGGUUUGCAGGUACGGGAUUGAUAGAGAAGAAAAGAAGAGAAAAGUCACAUGUUUGUAAUAGCUAGAGUAUGUGGACAUGAUAAAUGAUAAGAAU